rnacentral:rRNA from 1 species
UACGAAGGGGGCUAGCGUUGUUCGGAAUUACUGGGCGUAAAGCGCGCGUAGGCGGUGAUCUUUGUCAGAGGUGAAAUCCCGAGGCUCAACUUCGGAAUUGCCUUUGAAACGGGAUUGCUUGAGUCCGAGAGAGGAUGGCGGAAUUCUAGUGUAGAGGUGAAAUUCGUAGAUAUUAGGAAGAACACCGGUGGCGAAGGCGGCCAUCUGGCUCGGUACUGACGCUCAGGCGCGAAAGCGU